rnacentral:rRNA from 1 species
CCAACGGGUGGCAGCAGUAGGGAAUAUUGGUCAAUGGGCGCAAGCCUGAACCAGCCAUGCCGCGUGAGUGAUGAAGGCCUUCGGGUCGUAAAACUCUUUUCUGAGGGAAGAACAUCCUGCGUAGGAAAUGACGCGGGCUUGACGGUACCUCAGGAAUAAGCAACGGCUAACUCCGUGCCAGCAGCCGCGGUAAUACGGAGGUUGCAAGCGUUGUUCGGAAUAACUGGGCGUAAAGGGAGCGCAGGCGGUUGGGCAAGUCCAAAGUGAAAGCCCGGGGCUCAACUCCGGAAGGGCUUUGGUGACUGCCUGACUCGAGUUCGUGAGAGGAAAGCGGAAUUCCAGGUGUAGCGGUGAAAUGCGUAGAUAUCUGGAGGAACACCGGUGGCGAAAGCGGCUUUCUGGCACGAUACUGACGCUGAGGCUCGAAAGCGUGGGGAGCAAACA